AAGCAGCACUCUGUAGUAAGCAUCUGGUUGCCUGCUGCAAUUUAAGCUUGCUAGAACAGAAAAGUCUAACCUAUUCUGGGGGCCUCUGCUUUGUGAGUUCCCCUGUUAUAUGGACUUGAACAGC